UCCUACACAUACAUAUUACUCCUACUUCAAAUAAUCUCCAUGACAUACAAUUGGGUCAAAUGCCAAUACCAGAAAAACCGGUGACUGUUAUUUUGUCUGACAUUUCCACUUUCUCUAAACAAUAACCCCUUUAGUACGAACCAUCUUUGCCACUGUAGGUCUUAGCUAAGUAUGGAAUAAAUCAGGAUUCCAAGCCCUUCUCGUGUGACUAAUACUUUAUUAAAGACUGACAGCAAUAGUUCUGGCAGUGUGGCUGGGCACUUGAAUUUUGGCUCCAGCAGUUACUGUUAUCUAACCCUUUGCUACUGUACAUGUGGUCACAUCAGACCAACAGCAUCAUUUGGGAGGUUAUUAAAAAACGUAUCUAGGGGCCAGGUGUAGUGGCUCACUCCUGUAAUCCCAGCACUUUGGGAGGCUGAGGCAGGAUUGCCUGAGCCCAGGAGUUCAAGGCCAGCCUAAGCAACAUGGCAAAACCCCAUCUCUACCAAAAAAAAAAAAAAAAAAAAAAAAAAAAAUUACAAGAAUCAGCCAGGCAUGGUGGAACACACCUGUAGUCCUGGCUACUUGGGAGGCUGAGGUGGGAGGAUGGCUUAGCCCAGGUCAAGGUGGGGGUGAGCUAUGAUGGUGCCAUUGCACUGCAGCCUGGGAAAGAGACCAUCUCAAAGAAAAAAAAUUUAAGACGUGUCUGAAGCCUCACCUCAAGCCUAUAGAAUUAGAACCUGCAUUUUGUUUUUAAAUUUGAGAGUCAGGGGUCUCCGUCACCCAGGUGGUUUCAUCUACCAGCCUCAUACAUCCAACUUUAACUGGAUCAAGUAUUUAAGUCAGCUCGACAUUUAAAAUGGAAACUUCAAUUUUAUUAACAAUUUACGGCAAUAGACAUUUACAGAACAAAAAUAAGACAGUUCCAAGACAAAGGAGUGUAAAAGUACAGCACACAGGUUAAUACUCUUCACCCUCAUCCUCUCCGUCAGCACUAUCUGCUCCAACCUCCUCAUAAUCCUUCUCAAGGGCAGCCAUGUCCUCACGGGCCUCUGAAAACUCGCCUUCCUCCAUCCCCUCACCCACGUACCAGUGAACAAAG
rnacentral:lncRNA from 10 species